ACGAACGCUGGCGGCAUGCCUCACCCAUGCCAGUCGAACGAGACCUUCGGGUCUAGUGGCGCACGGGUGCGUAACGCGUGGGAACCUGCCCUUAGGUUCGGAAUAACUCCCCGAAAGGGGUGCUAAUACCGGAUAAUGUCUUCGGACCAAAGAUUUAUCGCCUUUGGAUGGGCCCGCGUUGGAUUAGCUAGUUGGUAGGGUAAAAGCCUACCAAGGCGACGAUCCAUAGCUGGUCUGAGAGGAUGAUCAGCCACACUGGGACUGAGACACGGCCCAGACUGCGAGGGGGGGAAGGAGGGGAGAAGAUUGAACAAGGGGGAAAGGAGUGAUCCAGCAAUGCGGGGGAAGUGAUGAAGGCCGCGGUGUUGAAGAGCUAUUGCACGGGGGAUAAUAAAGAGAGAACGGGGAGAAGAAGCCCCGGCCAACGCGGGGCCAGCAGCCGGGGUAAUAAUAGGAAGAGCACACGUCGGAAC
rnacentral:rRNA from 1 species